GAUGAACGCUGGCGGCGUGCUUAACACAUGCAAGUCGAACGGAAAGGCCCAAGCUUGCUUGGGUACUCGAGUGGCGAACGGGUGAGUAACACGUGGGUGAUCUGCCCUGCACUUCGGGAUAAGCCUGGGAAACUGGGUCUAAUACCGGAUAGGACCACUUCUUGGAUGUUGGGGUGGAAAGUUUUUUCGGUGUGGGAUGAGCUCGCGGCCUAUCAGCUUGUUGGUGGGGUAAUGGCCUAACAAGGCGGCGACGGGUAGCCGGCCUGAGAGGGUGUACGGCCACAUUGGGACUGAGAGACGGCCCAGACUCCUACGGGAGGCAGCAGUGGGGAAUAUUGCACAAUGGGCGCAAGCCUGAUGCAGCGACGCCGCGUGGGGGAUGACGGCCUUCUGGUUGUAAAAUACUUUCGCUAGGGACGAAGCGUUUUGUGACGGUACCUGGAGAAGAAGCACCGGCUAACUACGUG
rnacentral:rRNA from 1 species